UACAGAGGUCCCAAGCGUUGUUCGGAUUCACUGGGCGUAAAGGGUGCGUAGGUGGUGAGGUAAGUCGGAUGUGAAAUCUCCGAGCUCAACUCGGAAAUGGCAUUGGAAACUACCUUGCUCGAGGGUUGGAGGGGGGACUGGAAUGCUUGGUGUAGCAGUGAAAUGCGUAGAUAUCAAGCGGAACACCAGUGGCGAAGGCGAGUCCCUGGACAACCCCUGACACUGAGGCACGAAAGCUAGGGGAGCAAACAGG
rnacentral:rRNA from 1 species